AUUGAACGCUGGCGGCAGGCCUAACACAUGCAAGUCGAGCGGAUGAAGGGAGCUUGCUCCUGGAUUCAGCGGCGGACGGGUGAGUAAUGCCUAGGAAUCUGCCUGGUAGUGGGGGAUAACGUCCGGAAACGGGCGCUAAUACCGCAUACGUCCUGAGGGUGAAAGUGGGGGAUCUUCGGACCUCACGCUAUCUGAUGAGCCUAGGUCGGAUUAGCUAGUUGGUGGGGUAAAGGCCUACCAAGGCGACGAUCCGUAACUGGUCUGAGAGGAUGAUCAGUCACACUGGAACUGAGACUCGGUCCAGACUCCUACGGGAGGCAGCAGUGGGGAAUAUUGGACAAUGGGCGAAAGCCUGAUCCAGCCAUGCCGCGUGUGUGAAGAAGGUCUUCGGAUUGUAAAGCACUUUAAGUUGGGAGGAAGGGCAGUAAGUUAAUACCUUGCUGUUUUGACGUUACCAACAGAAUAAGCACCGGCUAACUUCGUG
rnacentral:rRNA from 1 species